AAUCGUACCGUUUCACAAGAUGCAAGGUUCUCAUCCUUGCAAUCGGGGUUCAAUUCCCCGUGAGGUCACCA
rnacentral:tRNA from 1 species